rnacentral:rRNA from 1 species
CCCUUAGAUGUUCUGGGCCGCACGCGUGCUACACUGAGUGGAUCAGCGGGUCAGUUUGCGCGAAAGUGUUUCCUAAUCUUGAAAUCCGCUCGUGAUGGGGAUUGACGGUUGCAAUUUUCCGUCAUGAACGAGGAAUACCUUGUAAGCGCGGGUCAUCAUCCCGCGCUGAAUACGUCCCUGCCCUUUGUACACACCGCCCGUCGCUCCUACCGAUUGAGUGGUCCGGUGAGGCUUUGGGAUCUGAGCGGAAAGAGCGUUUCGCUGUUUCUGCUCGGAAAACUCAGUCGAACCUUAUCAUUUAGAGGAAGGAGAAGUCGUAACA